CCUGAAGAGUGAGCUCGAGGUGGGAGCCUUGGCCCCUGAGGCUGGGGAGUCUCCGUCUCAGUAAAGAGGAGUGCAUGCUAUUGGGAUGAGCAGCAGAGCCCGGGCCCAGAUGGCUCCUGUUUCCUGGGGGAUCCUGGGGCUGUCCCUGCAGGGCCAGCACCAUCCUGUGUGUUCUCUUCCAGGCUGCUGACUUGGACCCCUGUGAGCCGGAGCGUGUGGGCCAUGGAUUCUAAGGUCAGCAACGGUUCCAGCCUCCAGGACGAGCGCAUCACAAACCUACUGGUGUUUGG
rnacentral:lncRNA from 1 species